UGCAGUCCGAGCGGAUGAGCGGAGCUUGUUGUUCGCUUGGCGGCAGAGGGGUGAGUAAUACCUAGAAAUCUGCCCGGGCCCGGGGGAGAACGUUUCCUACGGAACGCAGUGACCGCAAACGUCCUACCGGAAAAGGGGAGGGACCUUCAGGCCUUGACCUCUCACAUGAGCCUAGGUCGAAUUAGCAUUUUGGUGAGGUAGGGGCUCAGGAUGGCCACGAUCCGUAACUGGUCUGAGAGGAUGAUCAGUCCCACUGGAACUGAGACUGGGACCAGACUCCUACGGGAGGCACCAGUGGGGAAUAUUGGACAAGGGGCGAAAGCCAGAUCCAGCCCUGCCGCGUGUGUGAAAAAGGUCUGCGGAUUUGGAAAAGCCAAUUUUAAGUUUGGGAGGAAGGGGCAAGUAAGCCGAAUUACCAUGACUGUUUUUGACGUUGACCGGACAGAAAUAAGACUCCGGCCUAAGCUCUGUGUCCAGCAGCCGCCGGUAAUGCAGAAGGGUGCGAGCGUUAAUCUGAAUUUACUGUGCGUAAAGCGAAGCGUAGGGUGGUUUCGGUUAAGUUAGAAUGUGAAAUCACAGGGCUCAACUUGGGAACUGCAUCCAAAAUUUGACGAGCUAGAGUAGAGCAGAUGGUGGUGGAAGUUUCAUGUGUAGCGGUGAAAUGCGUAGAUAUAGGAAGGAACACGCAGUGGCGAUAGGCGACCACCCUGGGCUCAUACUGAUCACUGAGGCUGCGAACGCGUGGGGGAGCAAACAGGAUUAGAUACCCAUGGCUAGUCCACGUCCGUAACACGAUGAUCAACUAGCCGUUGGGAAUCCGUUGAGAUUUUAGUGGCGCAGCUAACGCAUUAAGUUGACCGCCUGGGGAGUGCGGCCGCAAGGUUAAAACUCAAAUGAAUUGACGGGGGCCCGCACAAGCGGUGGAGCAUGUGGUUUAAUUCGAAGCAACGCGAAGAACCUUACCAGGCCUUCCCAUCCAAUGUACUUUCCAGAGAUGGAUUGGUGCCUUCGGGAACAUUGAGACAGGUGACGCAUGGCGCUCGUCAGUUCGCAUCUUGAGAUGUUGGGUUAAGUCCUGUAUCGAGCGCAACCCUUGUCCUUAGUCACCAGCACGUUAUGGUGGGCACUCUAAGGAGACUGCCGGUGACAAACCGGAGGAAGGUGGGGAUGACGUCAAGUCAUCAUGGCCCUUACGGCUUGGGCUACACACGUGCUACAAUGGUCGGUACAGAGGGUCGCCAACCCGCGAGGUGGAGCUAAUCUCACAAAACCGAUCGUAGUCCGGAUCGCAGUCUGCAACUCGACUGCGUGAAGUCGGAAUCGCUAGUAAUCGCGAAUCAGAAUGUCGCGGUGAAUACGUUCCCGGGCCUUGUACACACCGCCCGUCACACCAUGGGAGUGGGUUGCACCAGAAGUAGGUAGCUCUAACCGUAAGG
rnacentral:rRNA from 1 species